AUUGAACGCUGGCGGUAUGCUUAACACAUGCAAGUCGAGCGGUAACAGGCCUUCGGGCGCUGACGAGUGGCGGACGGGUGAGUAACGCGUAGGAAUCUGCCUCAUAGUGGGGGACAACGUGUGGAAACGCACGCUAAUACCGCAUACGCCCUACGGGGGAAAGCGGGGGACCUUCGGGCCUCGCGCUAUGAGAUGAGCCUGCGUUAGAUUAGCUAGUUGGUAGGGUAAAGGCCUACCAAGGCGACGAUCUAUAGCUGGUCUGAGAGGACGAUCAGCCCCACUGGGAAUGAGACACGGCCCAGACUCCUACGGGAGGGAGCAGUGGGGAAUAUUGGACAAUGGGCGCAAGCCUGAUCCAGCAAUACCGCGUGUGUGAAGAAGGCCCUAGGGUUGUAAAGCACUUUCAAUAGGGAGGAAAACCUGUCGGUCAAUACCCGGCAGCUUGACAUUACCUAUACAAGAAGCACCGGCUAACUCCGUGCCAGCCGCCGCAGUAAUAC
rnacentral:rRNA from 1 species